rnacentral:rRNA from 1 species
AUUGAACGCUGGCGGCAGGCCUAACACAUGCAAGUCGAACGGUAACAGGAAGCAGCUUGCUGCUUUGCUGACGCGUGGCGGACGGGUGAGUAAUGUCUGGGAAACUGCCUGAUGGAGGGGGAUAACUACUGGAAACGGUAGCUAAUACCGCAUAACGUCGCAAGACCAAAGAGGGGGACCUUCGGGCCUCUUGCCAUCGGAUGUGCCCAGAUGGGAUUAGCUAGUAGGUGGGGUAACGGCUCACCUAGGCGACGAUCCCUAGCUGGUCUGAGAGGCUGACCGGCCACACUGGAACUGAGACACGGUCCAGACUCCUACGGGAGGCAGCAGUAGGGAAUAUUGCGCAAUGGGCGCAAGCCUGAUGCAGCCAUGCCGCGUGUAUGAUGAAGGCCUUCGGGUUGUAAAGUACUUUCAUCGGGGAAGAAGGGAGUAGAGUUAAUACCUGUGCUCAUUGACGUUACCCGCAGAAGAAGCACCGGCUAACUCCGUG